rnacentral:rRNA from 1 species
ACACUCCUGCGGGAGGCAGCAGUGGGGAAUAUUGCACAAUGGGCGCAAGCCUGAUGCAGCCAUGCCGCGUGUGUGAAGAAGGCCUUCGGGUUGUAAAGCACUUUCAGCGGGGAGGAAGGCGAUACGGUUAACAACCGUGUUGAUUGACGUUACCCGCAGAAGAAGCACCGGCUAACUCCGUGCCAGCAGACGCGGUAAUACGGAGGGUGCAAGCGUUAAUCGGAAUUACUGGGCGUAAAGCGCACGCAGGCGGUCUGUCAAGUCGGAUGUGAAAUCCCCGGGCUCAACCUGGGAACUGCAUUCGAAACUGGCAGGCUUGAGUCUUGUAGAGGGGGGUAGAAUUCCAGGUGUAGCGGUGAAAUGCGUAGAGAUCUGGAGGAAUACCGGUGGCGAAGGCGGCCCCCUGGACAAAGACUGACGCUCAGGUGCGAAAGCGUGGGGAGCAAACAGGAUUAGAAACCCCAGUAGUCCCAUGA